rnacentral:rRNA from 1 species
AACGAACGCUGGCGGCAUGCCUAACACAUGCAAGUCGAACGAGACCUUCGGGUCUAGUGGCGCACGGGUGCGUAACGCGUGGGAACCUGCCCUUAGGUUCGGCAUAACUCCCCGAAUGGGGUGCUAAUACCGGAUAAUGUCUUCGGACCAAAGAUUUAUCGCCUUUGGAUGGGCCCGCGUUGGAUUAGCUUGUUGUUAGGGUAAAAGCCUACCAAGGCGACGAUCCAUAGCUGGUCUGAGAGGAUGAUCAGCCACACUGGGACUGAGACACGGCCCAGACUCCUACGCGAGGCAGCAGUGGGGAAUAUUGGAAAACGGGCGGAAGCCUGAUCCAGCAAUGCCGGGUGAGUGAUGAAGGCCUUAGGGUUGUAAAGCUCUUUUACCCGGGAUGAUAAUGACAGUACCGAGAGAAUAAGCCCCGGCUAACUCCGUG